rnacentral:rRNA from 1 species
AUUGAACGCUGGCGGCAUGCUUUACACAUGCAAGUCGAACGGCAGCGCGGGCUUCGGCCUGGCGGCGAGUGGCGAACGGGUGAGUAAUGCAUCGGAACGUGCCCAGUAGUGGGGGAUAGCCCGGCGAAAGCCGGAUUAAUACCGCAUACGACCUGAGGGUGAAAGCGGGGGACCGAAAGGCCUCGCGCUAUUGGAGCGGCCGAUGUCGGAUUAGCUAGUUGGUGGGGUAAAGGCUUACCAAGGCGACGAUCCGUAGCUGGUCUGAGAGGACGACCAGCCACACUGGGACUGAGACACGGCCCAGACUCCUACGGGAGGCAGCAGUGGGGAAUUUUGGACAAUGGGGACAACCCUGAUCCAGCCAUGCCGCGUACGGGAAGAAGGCCUUCGGGUUGUAAACCGCUUUUGUUCGGGAAGAAAUCCUCUGGGCUAAUACCCCGGGGGGAUGACGGUACCGGAAGAAUAAGCACCGGCUAACUACGUG